UACGUAGGGUCCAAGCGUUAAUCGGAAUUACUGGGCGUAAAGCGUGCGCAGGUGGUUUGUUAAGCACGAUGUGAAAUCCCCGAGCUCAACUUGGGAAUUGCGUUGUGAACUGGCUAACUAGAGUACGGCAGAGGGGGGUGGAAUUCCACGUGUAGCAGUGAAAUGCGUAGAGAUGUGGAGGAACACCGAUGGCGAAGGCAACCCCCUGGGCUGAUACUGACACUCAUGCACGAAAGCGUGGGGAGCAAACAGG
rnacentral:rRNA from 1 species